rnacentral:rRNA from 1 species
AGAGUUUGAUCAUGGCUCAGAUUGAACGCUGGCGGCAUGCUUUACACAUGCAAGUCGAACGGCAGCGCGGGCUUCGGCCUGGCGGCGAGUGGCGAACGGGUGAGUAAUGCAUCGGAACGUACCCAGUCGUGGGGGAUAACACAUCGAAAGAUGUGCUAAUACCGCAUACGUCCUGAGGGAGAAAGCGGGGGACCUUCGGGCCUCGCGCGAUUGGAGCGGCCGAUGUCAGAUUAGCUAGUAGGUGGGGUAAAGGCCCACCUAGGCGACGAUCUGUAGCGGGUCUGAGAGGAUGAUCCGCCACACUGGGACUGAGACACGGCCCAGACUCCUACGGGAGGCAGCAGUGGGGAAUAUUGGACAAUGGGCGCAAGCCUGAUCCAGCCAUGCCGCGUGAGUGAUGAAGGCCCUAGGGUUGUAAAGCUCUUUCAGCCGGGAAGAAAUCGCGCUCUUUAAUAGAGGGUGUGGAUGACGGUACCGGACUAAGAAGCACCGGCUAACUACGUGCCAGCAGCCGCGGUAAUA